rnacentral:lncRNA from 1 species
CCCCCCUGACCAGAGAGCCACUGAUCUUUAUAAUUUUUAAAAAAGGAGUACAUUGGAGAAGAUUAGUAAAUAUUUAUAGUUACAUAUAGGUGUAAAAGGUUUCUUCUGAACUUUACCAACUACUAUCAUGUUCAAGCUGGAGCUUUAAUUCAUUCGAGCGACUAUCUCCACAAUUUCUGCUGUGAAAUGUAUAAAUGAUGAUCCAAACAGAUAAUAUAAAUGAGCUGAACGAAUGGUGGUAUUUUUGCCCAUGUCGCAUGUAUGCUUUUGGAGUAUCGGUAGGUGCAGACCUACAGUAUUUUGUGUGGAGCCGUAGAAAAUGAGUAAUGAAUUACUAAAUUAACGAGAAAUUGAAAUAAUUGUCAUGAUGGGAAACAAACUUUUGAAAUUUCGAGGACUAUGGUGAUUCUGUUUCCAUAUGUUAAUAAAUAAACAACAAAAGCUGAAAAGCACUACAGGUGAGGCAUUUUUCAAAAUUUUAAUGAAACACUUGUACUGUACCAUACAUUCAUUUAUUGAAAUAUACUAUAAUUUAUUACUAUUAUAUAAUAUUUCAACUCGAUUACUACUUGUAUAUAAUGCACAUAUCAAUGGCCUGGCCCUGGGGGUACACCCCCGGGACAUUGCAAAAACAUGAUUCUAAUGCAUUAAUUCCCCCUCCCUCCCCCGGGAAAUGUGUAAGUCAAACUGCCCUCCCCCUGGGCUUACAAUAAAGUAGUUCAUAAUAUAAAUAGCAUACAAACAAUUAAAAAUUAUUAUACAAACUGGGGUAUCACAAUGGCACUCAUGUAUUCCAUAUUUAUUUAUUCAAAUUUUAGCAAGACCACUACAAAAUAUCAUAAAUAAUAUGUUGCCGAUCGAUAUUUUUCUGUGAGCCUGUGAUUUUGAGUUCACACCAAUUAUGUCCAACCUCGGAAUUUUGAAAAAAAUUUUCAUUUUUUUUUUCCAACCUCGGAAUUUUGAAAAAAUUUUUCAUUUUUUUUCCCAACCUCGGAAUUGUGGAAAGUACUUCAUUUAUAAAAUUCAAAUUGUCACGUCAAAGUCCCUUACUUCCCCUCCCCCCAUCGUCCUAUUAUUGCGAAGUUUGUAAGGGAGUGGUCAUUAUUUAUGGGAGGGGGGUUGGGAAAUGGGAGGGGGGGG